UGUGUUGUUUUUUCUAGAGAGCCGUAAUAAACGAAAGGUGACAAGUUUACAACAACAACGAUGUCUCACCUUGAAUUGCGAAGUUUCUCCGCGAUGGACGAUAUCCAACCGUUCUGAUACUUCAUACAACAUCCAUGAACAGUCGUUUACACAAGGAGUACAAUGUGGACAUUACUCAAUUAAGAGAGAGCGAGAAAGAGAAAGAGAUAGAAAAAGAACAUUUCCCCGUGUAGGAAAAAAUAUAACGAUUUUGACGCCAAACUUGAAAGUAUCUAAGUAUUUCAGAUUUGUUUUUAGCAGAGUGGAUAUCUUGAAUAUGGCAGAUGGCUUGACGUUUGAAAUAUACCCAAGAAACUGCCAAUUAGGCGGAGCAGUUGGAUCUGGCCAACUGAAAUACACUGUAAAUACCAAGGAUCAAUAAGAAUAUGCAAGUGAAUUUAUUUAAUUGUUAUUGUAGCACAUACCUGCGCCACCUGUUCCAUCAGGGAACGGUAUAGCACCAGUGAGAAAAACCACGAUAUGGUUUAUAUUGUCUGCAUCAGGUACUGUUAUUAAAAACUGGUUCUCUCCUAUCUGUUGAAAAUCCGUUUGGACCUAAGAAAGAUGUUAUAUUUACAAUUACAUAUCGUUUGUAUGUUUGGAAAUUGUGGUUUACUAUUUGAAACUUGAAAAAAUCUAGAUUCGUCGACAUGAUAUUUACAUAUUCGAUUAAAUGCAGAGACGCUCGUGACAAGUUGGUGACGGGGUGGGGUAAGAUGCGAGCAUUACUGAGAGGUAACAGAAACAAGAUACGAAACAAAACGACGCAAACAUAGGACAUUAGCGAAAAUCAGGAAAAAAAAAGUAUGUUACGUAGGAACACUAAUAUGUUUGUGACAAACGAUACAUUUACAUUUAAUUGACAAUUUAGCAUCGAAAAUGAAAUACAAUGUUGGUACUUGCAUAGCAAAGCAUUGAUACUUACGAGUCGACCAGAUACAAUUAUACCAAGCAUCUUUAUGUCGAAUCUAGAUCAUUCUAUCGCUUUCUACUUAUCACGCUACACCAGCAAAUGUUCGGCAAGUAUAUAAUAGGUACACAACGUUGUCACACCAUCCAAACAUUUACAAUCGCUAGAAUGAUGUUUAUCACGAUUCAUGUGGCUAUAUAAAGAGUGGAAACUAAAGUAAUACUAGUUACUAAUAUCUAAGGUAGUAUCCUCAUGUGUACACACGAAGCUUAAUAUGAAUAAUUUUUCUCCAUGCUUUUACUUUCGAAACCAAAAUAAAAAGAUCCAACAUUCAAAAUGUUCUUUUUAUAU
rnacentral:misc_RNA from 1 species